rnacentral:rRNA from 1 species
CCUACGGGAGGCAGCAGUGGGGAAUAUUGUACAAUGGGGGAAACCCUGAUGCAGCGACGCCGCGUGAGUGAAGAAGUAUUUCGGUAUGUAAAGCUCUAUCAGCAGGGAAGAAGAAAGACGGUACCUGACUAAGAAGCCCCGGCUAACUACGUGCCAGCAGCCGCGGUAAUACGUAGGGGGCAAGCGUUAUCCGGAUUUACUGGGUGGAAAGGGAGCGUAGACGGCUGUGCAAGUCUGAAGUGAAAGCCCAGGGCUCAACCCUGGGACUGCUUUGGAAACUGUGGAGCUAGAGUGCUGGAGAGGUAAGUGGAAUUCCUAGUGUAGCGGUGAAAUGCGUAGAUAUUAGGAGGAACACCAGUGGCGAAGGCGGCUUACUGGACAGUAACUGACGUUGAGGCUCGAAAGCGUGGGGAGCAAACAGGAUUAGAUACCCUGGUAGUC